UGAGCAUACAGAGCUGCGAGCUACACAUGCAGUCGACGGUAACAGGAAGAAGCUUGCUUCUUUGCUGACGAGUGGCGGACGGGUGAGUAAUGUCUGGGAAACUGCCUGAUGGAGGGGGAUAACUACUGGAAACGGUAGCUAAUACCGCAUAACGUCGCAAGACCAAAGAGGGGGACCUUCGGGCCUCUUGCCAUCGGAUGUGCCCAGAUGGGAUUAGCUUGUUGGUGGGGUAACGGCUCACCAAGGCGACGAUCCCUAGCUGGUCUGAGAGGAUGACCAGCCACACUGGAACUGAGACACGGUCCAGACUCCUACGGGAGGCAGCAGUGGGGAAUAUUGCACAAUGGGCGCAAGCCUGAUGCAGCCAUGCCGCGUGUAUGAAGAAGGCCUUCGGGUUGUAAAGUACUUUCAGCGGGGAGGAAGGGAGUAAAGUUAAUACCUUUACUCAUUGACGUUACCCGCAGAAGAAGCACCGGCUAACUCCGUGCCAGCAGCCGCGGUAAUACGGAGGGUGCAAGCGUUAAUCGGAAUUACUGGGCGUAAAGCGCACGCAGGCGGUUUGUUAAGUCAGAUGUGAAAUCCCCGGGCUCAACCUGGGAA
rnacentral:rRNA from 1 species